rnacentral:lncRNA from 1 species
GAAAACUCCUUAAACCGGUUACUGUCUCUGCACACUCUGUAACACCAUUUUUACCUCUCACGAUUGCUGGUUUCACACUGGGACGGAAGGCAUGGCAGGUGGACCAUAGGACACAAAUUGCACCCAGUUCUGGCCCAGGGGAGAAGAGCCUAUGAACAGCGAGUUUUCGCUCCCUAAGAAGCUGCCGGGUUGGAACGCAGAGGCACAGAAUGUAGAUGGCGGCCCCUACCAAGCCAGCACUAGGGAUCUCAGCAGGCUGCGCUGUGACACUUGUGCCCGAGGCAGACACAGAUGACUGAGGAGCGCCUGAGCAACAGCCAUUGGCAAGGGCGGAUGUGAAGUUCGUUUCCCAUCUGCACUAGAGAGGGCAGCCCUGUCUCUCCCACACCCAGUGCACGCAGAAGCAGCACCUCAAUUUUCUCCUUCUUAUGGCCCCCAUUUUAGCUCUGUCCCUGGACAUCAUAACAAUAAUUCUGGAAAAAAUCAUCUGAGAUGGUAAUGUUUAAAAUCUGCUUACACAUUAGAGUAACUUGGAGAGAUUUAAAAAGGAUGCCAACAUGGUCUUUCUGCCUGGCACUUGGUGUGUUUUAAAAAAGCUCACCAGUUAAUUCUAAGGUACAACCAUUGAUCCAAGGAGGCAGAGCUUUUUUUGGUAGGUAAUAGGUAGCCGGUAAUACUUAUGUGUAAAGGAAAGGGUGAGAAAGAAGAACCUGAUGACAUCUUGCGGAGUACCUUAUAGAAGGGAGAGAUCACGGGUAAAACCCACGGACCAGCAAUCUCAUCCGCACUCCAAGGCGUUGCAGGUACAAUGACUGCACUGAAAAUCUUUCUUUAACUCCUAUUAAGUGUUUUGUUUAA